UGCAGUCCAACAUGUUAUUAUGCCAAAACACCACCACCUCUACAUCAACUACAUUUCUCCAAAUUUCAGCUAUCAACCCUGUUUUACGUCUUCUACAGAAUGUUGGAAAAGGUUGACAUGGAAGAAUCAGCAAGUGAGAAAAAGGAGUCCAAUGAAAUUCUACAAGUUGAAGAUUUUGAUGGGGCUUGAGUUGACAAU